rnacentral:rRNA from 1 species
GCGCGAAAACUUUACAAUGCUGGCAACAGCGAUAAGGGAACCUCGAGUGCCGGGUUACAAAUCUGGCUGUCGAGAUGCCUAAAAAGCAUUUCAUAGCAAGGGCCGGGCAAGACCGGUGCCAGCCGCCGCGGUAACACCGGCGGCUCGAGUGGUAACCGUUAUUAUUGGGUCUAAAGGGUCUGUAGCCGGCCGGAUAAGUCUCUUGAGAAAUCUGGCAGCUUAACUGUCAGGCUUUCAGGAGAUACUGUCUGGCUCGAGGCCGGGAGAGGUGAGAGGUACUUCAGGGGUAGGGGUGAAAUCUUGUAAUCCUUGAAGGACCACCAGUGGCGAAGGCGUCUCACCAGAACGGACCUGACGGCAAGGGACGAAAGCUAGGGGCACGAACCGGA